GACGAACGCUGGCGGCGUGCCUAACACAUGCAAGUCGAGCGAAAAGACGAGGAGCUUGCUCGCCCGACUUUGUCGGCGGACGGGAGCUUCACAUGUGGAUAACCUACCUAUCAGACUGGGAUACUUAUGGGAAACCGGAUCUAAUACCGGAUAAUUUAUUGCACUUCGUUGUGCAAUCGUUAAAUUCGGUUUUUCUUUCACUUAUAGCCUACUACGCGCCGCAUCAGCUAGUUGGUUAGGUAACGGCUUACCAACGCUAGGAUGGGUACCCGACCUAAGAGGGAGGUCGGACACAUUGGAUGUGAGACAGGGUCCAGACACCUGCGGGAGGAAACAGUAGAGAAUCUUACGCGAUGGGGGAGAGGGUGACAGUGGAAAGCGGCGUGAGUGAUGAAGGUCUUCGGCUCGGAAAGCGAUGAUGUUCGGGGAGAACAAAUGUGUAAUUACCUGUGAAGGUAUUGACGGUACCGGGUCAAAAAGCUCCGGCUAACUACGUG
rnacentral:rRNA from 1 species